rnacentral:lncRNA from 1 species
UAUUGGGUCAGCAUUAUUGCUGCUCUCUUCGUAACUGAUUUUCCCCAUCUCUCCAGACCUGUGCAUUUCCCAUAUCCUUAUUUAUAGCCCAGUCUUGAGUUUUGUAAACUCUUCUCACAUAAUUUCUUUAUUUAUAGCCCAGGCUCUGUAGUUUGAGGAAUUUUUACAUGACGUCAGGUAUAUACAUAUAUAAAAUAGAUAUACGAAUCAAACAUUCACUGAUAACUCAAAUUUAUUUUAAAACAGUUUUUUGGCUUAUACAAAUUUACCAUUUGUUUAAGGUAAAAACAAACAGACACCCAUGAGGUAGUUAUAUCUGUUUGUCUGACACAGUGCAGUCUGAGGAUGUACUAAUGUUACCCACUUGCUGGGAAAUAAAGUGGACAUUUUAAAGUCUUUGUUGUCUGUAAUUGCAUUUCUAUAUGAGCAGAAAUCUUUGCAUGCUUGCACAGUAAAACAAAAAACAACAACAACAACAACAAAAAACAGUGCAGUUUGUAACAGAAUGUCAGAUCUCUCCCCUUUCCCUCCUCUUCCUCCCUUCCUGAAUUUUUUUCCCCUUCUUCCUCCUCCCAGUAAAAGAUGCAUGCUGUGUGUUUUGAGUCAAGGCUGCAGUGAGGUCAUACCUUGCACUGUGGGUAAGCACUGCCAGGAUUCAUUUAUGUGUUUAAUUUUGAGUUCAUUUUUGUUUGGUACACAUUCAGACACCUUUUAUUGUUACUUUUCUUUUUUUUUUUUUUUUCAACCCUACACUCAAUUCUGUGAAGACCCGAGAUUUAAGAUGCUUUGUACUAAGAUACUUUUGGUGAGGCAUUCAGUGGGAACCUUGGAUGAGUCCUUAAAAUUCGAGGUCAGAUGUGAUGUCUGGGAACCACUUGGCUUCUCUGCAGAACCUUCUGUCAAACCCUCAGGCACAUUUAACUCCAAGCUCCUAAAGUAUUGUGAAUCACUUGUGAUACCCAUUGCUAAUUUGGCUUCCUACCUCCUUAGUUGCCACAUGAGAGUAUCUGGGGGGCUUUCUCACCUUGUAAUUCAAGGCAAAAGUCCACGGAUGAGGGUGGUCUAGACCUGCAGGCAGCAUGGAAUCCUGGAUCUCAACACAGGACUGGAAUUUGUCUUGUUUUAUAGGUGUUUCUGACAUACUUUUAUUUCCCACUGUUCAUCCAAAGAAGCCAAAGCUAAGGGCAGGUACUAGCAAAACAUAUAGAGACCUGGGGCGGGCAUAAAUACAAGGAAGAUCAAUACAUUAUUAUUGCCCUCAUAAUUGUUGUCUGGCCCAGGCUAGUUUUCAUCAGUCCCAUAAAACUCGAAACUAGUGAAGGUGAGAUCCCUAACAGGAAAACCUCUCCUUAAAACUGUCCACUCAAUUUCUGGCCAAAGCUCAAAAAGAUGCCGAAUAGAAUUUAAAACCAGCUCUUCUGAAUGGAUCCAAACUUGGAUAGUAAAGAGUAAAAAUCAAUUUCUUGCUUAAUGGUGUGUGUUUGUACAUACGCCUUUCCUCUUUUGCUAUUUGAUUAUCUAAGUAAAACUCUCAUAUAGUAUGACUUUUCGUGUGUAAUUUUAUUAUAUUCAGAAAUAUUUUAACAUUAAGAUCAUUGCUGUUAUUUUUUUCAGUGAUCACCAUGAGAUACUAUUUCAAUAAAUAUUUUGAAUCUACCAGAGUCUAGAAAAGGUUACAGGACAUCAGCUUGCUUUUCAACAGGGAGAGGCUCUGAGUGAGGGAAGUCAGAGUAAGAAAGGACAUAUACGUUGGGGGCUCAGGCUCUCUGUGCUGGGAUCUUCCAUCCAUAUCGAAGGCUUCCCUUCAGUCAUUGCUUGUCUGCACUAUGUGUAAGGACUACCUGCUUGUCAGACUGAGGGAUUGGGAAAACAGUAAUUUCACAAAAAUAAAAUAGCAUCUCUAUUGUUUUAUAGUCUUAUGAAGCACUUCGUUGAAGAAGUAUAGAGAACUUCAAGAAUUUCUUUGUGUUGUAUGUAAUAUAUAAACUGCUGUUUUUUGAUGCACAUUUUGGGCAUAGCUGUGGUAACUUCAAUGAUAGUCAUUUUAUAUUAUUCUUUUUCUAAAAUAUAUAAUCAUUAUUAAACUUUCUUGUAAAUGGAGUAAAACACUAACUAAUCAACACUAAUAAGUGCCUAGAAAAUUAUUAGCUUGCUUAAAUAUUAGGAUAACACAACUAUAUAACUUUGUUUAAAAUUGAGUUUAAUGAGAUUAUUUUACUCUGUAGAUACUAACUUCUAAAUAGUUUACUCUUACAUCAUGAAUACAAUGAUCUUAACAAAACUCUAGUUGCUACUAACAUGAAUUUGGUUAAGGAUAAGCUCAAAAGAGAAAAUAUUUUGUACAGGAAAUAAAGAUGAGUCAUGAGGGUGCUAAAAGAAGCCUUCUGAGGUUGUGGAAAAGAUGAGAUUAAAAUGGAAAUUCAUAUCUCUGUAAAAACAAGUUCCCGUAUUGAAUGCUGUUAUGUUCAAACAGGCCUCGUUGCUUGGAGUUCACUGUAUAGUAGCUGUAGAAUAUCUAUCUAGAUGUACAGUAUAAAUAUGUAAAUAUUUUACUUUGUAAGUUUGUAAAGGCUCCUUAAAGGCUCUUUGUGACUGAUAAUUCUAUCCUGAAACAGUAAGCCACAAUAAGCACUUGGUCAAAACUGUCAAGUACUCCUUUUAUGUUUUCCCUCAGAUCUGUUCCCAAAGUAUGGAAUAUGGAAUAGACUGUGAAAUUUUAAAAUAACACUUUUGUGGAAAUAAAGAACUU